rnacentral:rRNA from 1 species
CCUACGGGGGGCUGCAGUCGAGAAUCUUCCGCAAUGGGCGCAAGCCUGACGGAGCGAUGCCGCGUGAGGGAUGACGGCCUUCGGGUUGUAAACCUCUGUCAUCCGGGACGAAAACAAUGACGGUACCGGAAAAGGAAGCCACGGCUAACCACGUGCCAGCAGCCGCGGUAACACGUGGGUGGCGAGCGUUAUUCGGAUUUACUGGGCGUAAAGGGUCCGCAGGGGGCCUGCCACGCCUGCCGUGAAAUUCCAAGGCUCAACCUUGGACCUGCGGCGGGUACGGGCGGGCUAGAGUGCAAGAAGGGCAGACGGAAUUCCAGGUGUAGCGGUGGAAUGCGUAGAUAUCUGGAAGAACACCGAUGGCGAAGGCGGUCUGCUGGCUUGUAACUGACCCUCAGGGACGAGAGCGUGGGUAGCAAACAGGAUUAGAUACCCUUGUAGUC